GGCAAGAUGGCCGAGUUGGUUAUGGCGUGAGGUUAAGGUCCUCAUGGAGCAAUCCGCGUGGGUUCGAGUCCCACUCUUGUCA
rnacentral:tRNA from 1 species